rnacentral:misc_RNA from 1 species
UAUAUAUGUGUGUGUGUGUGUAUUUUGUAAUGGACAGAAGGCAGAGCAAAUUAGCAAUGCAACCCUUAAUUCCAUUCUGCGGCAAUGGUAAGCAGGAGUUCACCAUGACAUCAGAAAAAAAGGAAUUUCCUGUGGCCUAUGAUGAAAAUAAGUUCAGAACCUCUUAACACAUUAUUUCAAGUUGCAUAAAUACCACAAAGCCACAACUUGUGGAGUAACUAACAAAGCUGACGCCCAACACUCUGCUGAAAGCCAUUUAAGUGAAAAUACAAUAGAUUAAUCCUUUUGCACCUUCACUAUGUCAUAAACAGCCGAAAAGUCUAGGUCCCCUAAUCCCAUGCUUCUGGCCUUCUUGAAAGCCUGCAAGGAAACAUUAAUUGAUGAGUUUCCGGUUCAAUAAUCAAACAACUUCCUGUAAGAUAAGACAUCCACAUCCAGCAUUGUUUUGCUACUUUAUGGUUCCACUCUUGCUAUGACAAGUUUUAUGUUUGAAUAUAAACACAAGGAUGUCAUUCAAUAUGGAUUCAUGUAGGACUAAAUAAAAGUUCGAUACAUUUAUCAGCAAUUCUGUAGGAAACUUAUAUGGCUUCAGGAAAUCUAAAUAGGAGGGGUUGGAAAAUAAAAAAUUAAAGCUAAUUGCACUGUUAAGAAGGUGUGUGGAAUUAUCCAAACCACAAUUCUUUAUAGGAUUUAUCCAUGAACAUAUAGAUAGAGAACGGGGAACAUAUAUAACAAAGCAACAUGAAACAACUAUAGAACAAUAAAGGCAUUUACAUGAUUACUUAUUUCAAAUAAAUUUGAUGUAUUAUCUAAUAAAUUCAUGGCAUCAUGCUAUCUCAAAAUCCCUAUCUAACAUAUCACCAGCCCAUUUUUCAGUCUGGGGAGAGGUAAAUAAGAUGAAAGAAGAGCACAACCUCAUUUGCUGCAGCUGCUACUGGCAUUGAUACAGCAUUUUCAUCCCCAAGGGCAAGAGCCAACCUCAUGUCCUUCUGCUGAUGUUUCAGAGGAAAUGCGGGGGAGUAAUUGCUCUUGAGCAUAGCUGGUCCUUUCCCCCUAAACAUGGGAUUGGCAAUUCCGCCUAGAUCCAACACAUCAAGAAGAUUGACAGGGUUCAGUCCACUCCUUGCUGCCAGCACCAGUCCCUCAGAAAAUGCAUUCAUCAUACUGCAAAAGAUGAGAAACCAAACCCUAUCCAACAUUGAGUAUAUGAACAUCUUCUGUAUCUUCAAAACAUAAGUAGGGUUGUUUAAGUCAGCUCAAAAUAUGCAGACAAUUCUAUGGUGGAUUCUUUCUACAUCUAGCGGCCUUUAUUUAGCUCACCUAUACUUGACGAUAUAUAAAAUCAAGCAUGAUUCUGUGGCUUUGCCUAAAGCAACAUAUACAGAUUUAAUGGAUCUCUGCUGUAAACAUCUAACAACUCUCUAGUUAAAAUAACUAAUGACAAAAUGUUUUCAUUUUGUUAGUAAGGAAUCCCGCUAAAAGAAAUAAAUUAAAUUUCUAUGAGAAUUAAAGGAUUACAACUACAUAUUAGCCUUAGAAUAUGUAAAAUGAAAUUUGAAUUGAAAUGUAUGAUUUUUUAGUGGAUUCCCUUUUCAACCGUUCCUCAGCAUUAUGUUGAUAAUGUGCAAUGCAAAAGACCAUCCAGUUUAAUAUAGUUAAUCUAUUAACUGAGACAAGAAUAGACACAGGAUAAGCUGCAAUAUAGAAAAUAGAUAAUAUUCUGAAUAAUGAAAUUCACCAUCCUUCCAUUUAUUCAUUUUCCUCUAAAUACUAACAUGUAAGAAGAAUAUUAUUAUGAUCCCUUUGGCAAAAUUUUAGCCACAUAAUAGCUAGAUUGAUGCAAGCACAUUGUAGUUGUAAAAAAAGAAGAAGCUAUUCUUAAUUGUUACAGGGUACUGACUGACAUUUUACCUUGUAUUAUAUUUCUUCUUGGCAUGGGAACAACUAUCACUAAUUAAAUUUAAUCUUCAAUGGAAAAGGCACCAGUUACCUGCCCAUUAUCAUGUUGACCACAAGUUUCAUUUUUGCUCCAUUUCCAAUCUCCCCCAAGAAGAAAGACUUUUUCCCCAUAACAUCAAAAGCUGGAAUUGCCAAAUCAUAUAGUGCCUUAUCUCCAGCAGCAAGGAUUACUAAUUGACCAGCUUCUGCAGGUUGCUUACUACCUGAAACAGGAGCUUCAAGGAAAAAACCACCCUUUGCCGUAAUUGCCUUGCUGAUGUUGGUAGAAGUUUCAGGAUCAACAGUUGACAUGUCAAUAUAACCUUUUCCAUUGCAAAUUUCUUCAAGAACCCCAUCUUUGUCAAAAACCACCGAAAGAGUGGCAGCAGGAUCAGAUAAUAUAGCAAUGGUAAGCUCACACUUCUUGACCACAGCUGCAGGAGUUUCUCCAAUUGAUGCGCCUAACUCCACCAGUUCAUUACACUUGGAGAGUGUCCUGUUCCAAACAGUGACCUUGAAGCCACUCUUAAUCAAAUUGGUGGCCAUGGCCUUUCCCAUUAUCCCCAGACCCAAGAACCCUACUUCCAUUUUCUCUUCUCUUCUCCUCUUCUCUUCUCUUCUCUU